rnacentral:rRNA from 1 species
GGUAAUUUAAGCAUAUUACUAAGCGGAGGAAAAGAAACUAACAAGGAUUCCCCCAGUAGCGGCGAGCGAACAGGGAAGAGUCCAGCACCGAACCCCGCAGGCUGCCGCCUGUCGUGGCAUGUGGUGUUUGGGAGGGUCCACUACCCCGACGCCUCGCGCCGAGCCCAAGUCCAACUUGAAUGAGGCCACGGCCCGUAGAGGGUGCCAGGCCCGUAGUGGCCGGUGCGAGCGUCGGCGGGACCUCUCCUUCGAGUCGGGUUGCUUGAGAGUGCAGCUCCAAGUGGGUGGUAAACUCCAUCUGAGACUAAAUAUGACCACGAGACCGAUAGCGAACAAGUACCGUGAGGGAAAGUUGAAAAGAACUUUGAAGAGAGAGUUCAAAAGUACGUGAAACCGUUCUGGGGUAAACGUGAGAAGUCCGAAAGGUCGAACGGGUGAGAUUCACGCCCAUCCGGCCACUGGCCCUCGCCCUCGGCAGAUGGGGCCGGCCGCCCGCGCGGAGCAAUCCGCGGCGGGGUCGUGUCCGGUUGUCUUUCCACUCGCCGCGGGGUGGGGCCGUUCCGGUGUGCGGUGGGCCGCACUUCUCCCCUAGUAGGACGUCGCGACCCGCUGGGUGCCGGCCUACGGCCCGGGUGCGCAGCCUGUCCUUCCGCGGGCCUCGGUUCGCGUCUGUUGGGCAGAGCCCCGGUGUCCCGGCUGGCUGCUCGGCGGUAUAUCUGGAGGAGUCGAUUCGCCCCUUUGGGCGCCUGGGCUCCCGGCAAGCGCGUGCGGUUCUUCCCGGAUGACGGACCUACCUGGCCCGGCCCCGGACCCGCGCCGCUGUUGGCUCGGGAUGCUCUCGGGCGGAAUAAUCGCUCCCGUCAGCGGCGCUUCAGCUUUGGACAAUUUCACGACCCGUCUUGAAACACGGACCAAGGAGUCUAACAUGUGCGCGAGUCAUUGGGCUGUACGAAACCUAAAGGCGUAAUGAAAGUGAAGGUCUCGCCUUGCGCGGGCCGAGGGAGGAUGGGGCUUCCCCGCCCCUCACGGGGCGGCGGCCUCCGCACUCCCGGGGCGUCUCGUCCUCAUUGCGAGGUGAGGCGCACCUAGAGCGUACACGUUGGGACCCGAAAGAUGGUGAACUAUGCCUGGCCAGGACGAAGUCAGGGGAAACCCUGAUGGAGGUCCGUAGCGAUUCUGACGUGCAAAUCGAUCGUCGGAGCUGGGUAUAGGGGCGAAAGACUAAUCGAACCAUCUAGUAGCUGGUUCCCUCCGAAGUUUCCCUCAGGAUAGCUGGUGCUCGUACGAGUCUCAUCCGGUAAAGCGAAUGAUUAGAGGCCUUGGGGCCGAAACGACCUCAACCUAUUCUCAAACUUUAAAUGGGUGAGAUCUCCGGCUUGCUUGAUAUGCUGAAGCCGCGAGCAAACGACUCGGAUCGGAGUGCCAAGUGGGCCACUUUUGGUAAGCAGAACUGGCGCUGUGGGAUGAACCAAACGCCGAGUUAAGGCGCCCGAAUCGACGCUCAUGGGAAACCAUGAAAGGCGUUGGUUGCUUAAGACAGCAGGACGGUGGCCAUGGAAGUCGGAAUCCGCUAAGGAGUGUGUAACAACUCACCUGCCGAAGCAACUAGCCCUGAAAAUGGAUGGCGCUGAAGCGUCGUGCCUAUACUCGGCCGUCAGUCCGGCAGUCAUGGCCGGUCCUUGUGGCCGGCCGCGAAGCCCUGACGAGUAGGAGGGUCGCGGCGGUGGGCGCAGAAGGGUCUGGGCGUGAGCCUGCCUGGAGCCGCCGUCGGUGCAGAUCUUGGUGGUAGUAGCAAAUACUCCAGCGAGGCCCUGGAGGGCUGACGCGGAGAAGGGUUUCGUGUGAACAGCCGUUGCACACGAGUCAGUCGAUCCUAAGCCCUAGGAGAAAUCCGAUGUUGAUGGGGGCCGUCAUAGCAUGAUGCACUUUGUGCUGGCCCCCGUUGGGCGAAAGGGAAUCCGGUUCCUAUUCCGGAACCCGGCAGCGGAACCGAUACAAGUCGGGCCCCUCUUUUAGAGAUGCUCGUCGGGGUAACCCAAAAGGACCCGGAGACGCCGUCGGGAGAUCGGGGAAGAGUUUUCUUUUCUGCAUGAGCGUUCGAGUUCCCUGGAAUCCUCUAGCAGGGAGAUAGGGUUUGGAACGCGAAGAGCACCGCAGUUGCGGCGGUGUCCCGAUCUUCCCCUCGGACCUUGAAAAUCCGGGAGAGGGCCACGUGGAGGUGUCGCGCCGGUUCGUACCCAUAUCCGCAGC